rnacentral:rRNA from 1 species
AUUGAACGCUGGCGGCAUGCCUUACACAUGCAAGUCGAACGGCAGCACGGGUGCUUGCACCUGGUGGCGAGUGGCGAACGGGUGAGUAAUAUAUCGGAACGUACCUUAUCGUGGGGGAUAACGCAGCGAAAGCUGCGCUAAUACCGCAUACGCCCUGAGGGGGAAAGCGGGGGGACCGUAAGGCCUCGCGCGAUUAGAGCGGCCGAUAUCUGAUUAGCUUGUUGGUGGGGUAAAGCCCACCAAGGCGACGAUCAGUAGCUGGUCUGAGAGGACGAUCAGCCACACUGGGACUGAGACACGGCCCAGACUCCUACGGGAGGCAGCAGUGGGGAAUUUUGGACAAUGGGGGCAACCCUGAUCCAGCAAUGCCGCGUGAGUGAAGAAGGCCUCGGGUUGUAAAGGCUCUUUGUUCUAGGGAAGAAACAGCAGCUCUAACACAGUCUGCGAAUGACGGUACCUGAAGAAUAAGCACCGGCUAACUACGUGCCAG